GUCUAUGGCCAUACCACCCUGAACGCACUCGAUCUCAUCUGAUCUCAGAAGCUAAGCAGGGUCGGGCCUGGUUAGUACUUGGAUGGGAGGAAGGAGGAGGCAGGCUUCAGAGC
rfam:Pan troglodytes isolate Yerkes chimp pedigree #C0471 (Clint) chromosome 6, whole genome shotgun sequence.